UACGUAGGGUCCGAGCGUUGUCCGGAAUUAUUGGGCGUAAAGAGCUCGUAGGCGGUUUGUCGCGUCUGCUGUGAAAUCCCGAGGCUCAACCUCGGGCCUGCAGUGGGUACGGGCAGACUGGAGUACUGCAGGGGAGACUGGAAUUCCUGGUGUAGCGGUGGAAUGCGCAGAUAUCAGGAGGAACACCGGUGGCGAAGGCGGGUCUCUGGGCAGUAACUGACGCUGAGGAGCGAAAGCGUGGGGAGCGAACAGG
rnacentral:rRNA from 1 species